AUGAACGCUGGCGGCGUGCCUCACACAUGCAAGUCGAACGAAGCUUGACGGAUGAUUUCUUCGGAAUGAAACCAGAUAUGACUUAGUGGCGGACGGGUGAGUAACACGUGAGCAACCUGCCUUUCAGAGGGGGAUAACGGCUGGAAACGGUCGCUAAUACCGCAUGAUGUGUUCGGAUGGCAUCAUCUGAACAUCAAAGAUUUAUCGCUGAAAGAUGGGCUCGCGUCUGAUUAGAUAGUUGGUGGGGUAACGGCCUACCAAGUCUACGAUCAGUAGCCGGACUGAGAGGUUGAACGGCCACAUUGGGACUGAGAUACGGCCCAGACUCCUACGGGAGGCAGCAGUGGGGAAUACUGCACAAUGGGGGAAACCCUGAUGCAGCAACGCCGCGUGAAGGAUGACGGUUUUCGGAUUGUAAACUUCUUUUCUUAGUGACGAAGACAGUGACGGUAGCUAAGGAAUAAGCAUCGGCUAACUACGUG
rnacentral:rRNA from 1 species